CAGUCGAGCGGACAGAUGGGAGCUUGCUCCCUGAUGUUAGCGGCGGACGGGUGAGUAACACGUGGGUAACCUGCCUGUAAGACUGGGAUAACUCCGGGAAACCGGGGCUAAUACCGGAUGGUUGUUUGAACCGCAUGGUUCAAACAUAAAAGGUGGCUUCGGCUACCACUUACAGAUGGACCCGCGGCGCAUUAGCUAGUUGGUGAGGUAAUGGCUCACCAAGGCAACGAUGCGUAGCCGACCUGAGAGGGUGAUCGGCCACACUGGGACUGAGACACGGCCCAGACUCCUACGGGAGGCAGCAGUAGGGAAUCUUCCGCAAUGGACGAAAGUCUGACGGAGCAACGCCGCGUGAGUGAUGAAGGUUUUCGGAUCGUAAAGCUCUGUUGUUAGGGAAGAACAAGUACCGUUCGAAUAGGGCGGUACCUUGA
rnacentral:rRNA from 1 species